GUCCAUGUGGUGGUAGCAUUGUCG
rnacentral:siRNA from 1 species